AUCCAACUGACGUGUCCCGAAUAAGACGAAAUGCGCAUCCUGUAU
rnacentral:hammerhead_ribozyme from 1 species